rnacentral:rRNA from 1 species
AACGAACGCUGGCGGCGUGCCUAAUACAUGCAAGUCGAGCGAACUGAUUAGAAGCUUGCUUCUAUGACGUUAGCGGCGGACGGGUGAGUAACACGUGGGCAACCUGCCUGUAAGACUGGGAUAACUUCGGGAAACCGAAGCUAAUACCGGAUAGGAUCUUCUCCUUCAUGGGAGAUGAUUGGAAGAUGGUUUCGGCUAUCACUUACAGAUGGGCCCGCGGUGCAUUAGCUAGUUGGUGAGGUAACGGCUCACCAAGGCAACGAUGCAUAGCCGACCUGAGAGGGUGAGCGGCCACACUGGGACUGAGACACGGCCCAGACUCCUACGGGAGGCAGCAGUAGGGAAUCUUCCGCAAUGGACGAAAGUCUGACGGAGCAACGCCGCGUGAGUGAUGAAGGCUUUCGGGUCGUAAAACUCUGUUGUUAGGGAAGAACAAGUACAAGAGUAACUGCUUGUACCUUGACGGUACCUAACCAGAAAGCCACGGCUAACUACGUGCCAGCCGCCGCAGUAAAAC